rnacentral:rRNA from 1 species
CAGCCGCCGCGGUAAUACGGAGGGUGCAAGCGUUAAUCGGAAUUACUGGGCGUAAAGCGCACGCAGGCGGUCUGACAAGUCAGAUGUGAAAUCCCCGGGCUUAACCUGGGAACUGCAUUUGAAACUGUCAGGCUGGAGUCUUGUAGAGAGGGGUGGAAUUCCAGGUGUAGCGGUGAAAUGCGUAGAGAUCUGGAGGAAUACCGGUGGCGAAGGCGGCCCCCUGGACAAAGACUGACGCUGAGGUGCGAAAGCGUGGGGAGCAAACAGGAUUAGAUACCCGUGUAGUCCCUGUCUCUUAUAC